AGUGAACGCUGGCGGUAGGCCUAACACAUGCAAGUCGAACGGCAGCACAGUAAGAGCUUGCUCUUACGGGUGGCGAGUGGCGGACGGGUGAGGAAUACAUCGGAAUCUACUUUUUCGUGGGGGAUAACGUAGGGAAACUUACGCUAAUACCGCAUACGACCUACGGGUGAAAGCAGGGGAUCUUCGGACCUUGCGCGAUUGAAUGAGCCGAUGUCGGUUUAGCUAGUUGGCGGGGUAAAGGCCCACCAAGGCGACGAUCCGUAGCUGGUCUGAGAGGAUGAUCAGCCAAACUGGAGAUGAGACACGGUCCAGACGCCUACGGGAGGCAGCAGUGGGGAAUAUUGGACAAUGGGCGCAAGCCUGAUCCAGCCAUACCGCGUGGGUGAAGAAGGCCUUCGGGUUGUAAAGCCCUUUUGUUGGGAAAGAAAAGCAGCAGGUUAAUACCCCGCUGUUCUGACGGUACCCAAAGAAUAAGCACCGGCGAACUUCGU
rnacentral:rRNA from 1 species